CCUUACCCCCACUCCUUCUGCGCCCUUUACACCCCCUCUCGUUUUUCCUCCUCCUCUCCCUCCUCCUUUUCCUCUUCCCUUCCUGUCUCCAGCUCCCCUCUUCUCUAACAUAUGACAUCACCGUCCAUGCUGCUGAGAUGAACGGCGUCUCUGGAACAGAGCUUGAGGCCAGCUCUCAUGCCGUCACCCACUCCACCUCAGAAGCACACAGGAUGUCCACUCAUGGAGCGGGGGCUGGGUGAGAGCUUUGGGGACUGAGGGAAGACAGCAGCGUCUGGCAGCCCUCUGAGGUCUCGCUGAGGAGCCUCAGAGACCCAUGGAGCCUUCGAGGAGUCACAGUGGCGGAGGACGACCUGCAGAGCUCACAGCAUCCUCGGAACACCCGAAAAAAGACAGGUGUUCCAGCUUCAUUUCUGUUGCUGUACUAAAGUGCCCUGAACAAAAGCAACAUCAAGAGGAAUGCUUUGUUCAUGAUCCAUAUCCAGUGUGUCCCUUUUCCAUCCCUGAGAGCUCUCUGCUCUUUCAUCCCCCUCCAGUUUCAUCACACAGACACACAAAUUUGAAUCUAGGUUCUCAUAUGAAGAAACAUGUCAUUUCUCUUUAUGAAUUGGAUUUGUUAAGCUUAACAUAGCAAUUUCUCAAUAGUAAUUUGUAGUUCCAUCCAUUUCUCUGAAAAUGUCACAAUUUCAUUUUUUUUCACAGCUGAAUAAAAUUCUACAGCAUA